CCCCUAGAUGUUCUGGGCCGCACGCGCGCUACACUGAACAGUUCAACAAGUCUUAACCUUGGUCGAUAGGUCUGGGUAAUCUUUGAACGCUGUUCGUGAUUGGGAUAGACCUUUGCAAUUAUGGGUCUUCAACGAGGAAUUCCUAGUAAACGCAAGUCAUCAGCUUGCAUUGAUUACGUCCCUGCCCUUUGUACACACCGCCCGUCGCACCUACCGAUUGAAUGGUCCGGUGAAAUCUCGGGACGGCGGCUCGGUCGCUUGCGUCCGACUGCUGAAACUUGAUUAAACCAUAUCAUUUAGAGGAAGGUGAAGUCGUAACA
rnacentral:rRNA from 1 species